GACGAACGCUGACGGCGUGCUUAACACAUGCAAGUCGAAGGGAGUGGCGAACGGGUGAGUAACACGUGAGCAACCUGCCCUUCUCAUUGGGAUAAGCCUGGGAAACUGGGUCUAAUACCGGAUGGAUUGGGAUGGGCUCGCGGCUUAUCAGCUUGUUGGUGGGGUGUUGGUUGAGUAGGGCUUUGACGGGUAGCCGGCCUGAGUGGGUGGUCGGUAACGCGGGAAGUGAGAUACGGCCCCGGCUCCUACGGGUGGCGACAGUGGGGGAUAUUGCACAAUGGUCGGAAGGCUGAUGCAGGGGCGUCGUGUGGGGCGUGAAGUCCUUCAGGUUGUAAACUCCUUUCGCCCGCGGAAUGGUAGUGGGUAAGGAAGCGCCGGCUAACUACGUGCCAGCAGCCGCGGUAAUUC
rnacentral:rRNA from 1 species